rnacentral:rRNA from 1 species
GGGUUGUGAGGUUAAGCGACUAAGCGUACACGGUGGAUGCCCUGGCAGUCAGAGGCGAUGAAGGACGUGCUAAUCUGCGAAAAGCGUCGGUAAGGUGAUAUGAACCGUUAUAGCCGGCGAUGUCCGAAUGGGGAAACCCAGUGCAAUUCGUUGCACUAUCGUUUGAUGAAUACAUAGUCAAACGAGGCGAACCGGGGGAACUGAAACAUCUAAGUACCCCGAGGAAAAGAAAUCAACCGAGAUUCCCCCAGUAGCGGCGAGCGAACGGGGAGCAGCCCGGAGUCUGAAUCAGCUUGUGUGUUAGUGGAAGCGUCUGGAAAGUCGCAGGGUACAGGGUGAUACUCCCGUACACUAAAACACACAGGUUGUGAACUCGAAGAGUAGGGCGGGACACGUGGUAUCCUGUCUGAAUAUGGGGGGACCAUCCUCCAAGGCUAAAUACUCCUGACUGACCGAUAGUGAACCAGUACCGUGAGGGAAAGGCGAAAAGAACCCCGGCGAGGGGAGUGAAAAAGAACCUGAAACCGUGUACGUACAAGCAGUAGGAGCCUCUUUAUGGGGUGACUGCGUACCUUUUGUAUAAUGGGUCAGCGACUUAUAUUCUGUAGCAAGGUUAACCGUAUAGGGGAGCCGCAGGGAAACCGAGUCUUAACUGGGCGUUAAGUUGCAGGGUAUAGACCCGAAACCCGGUGAUCUAGCCAUGGGCAGGUUGAAGGUUGGGUAACACUAACUGGAGGACCGAACCGACUAAUGUUGAAAAAUUAGCGGAUGACUUGUGGCUGGGGGUGAAAGGCCAAUCAAACCGGGAGAUAGCUGGUUCUCCCCGAAAGCUAUUUAGGUAGCGCCUCGUGAACUCAUCUUCGGGGGUAGAGCACUGUUUCGGCUAGGGGGUCAUCCCGACUUACCAACCCGAUGCAAACUACGAAUACCGAAGAAUGUUAUCACGGGAGACACACGGCGGGUGCUAACGUCCGUCGUGAAGAGGGAAACAACCCAGACCGCCAGCUAAGGUCCCAAAGUCAUGGUUAAGUGGGAAACGAUGUGGGAAGGCCCAGACAGCCAGGAUGUUGGCUUAGAAGCAGCCAUCAUUUAAAGAAAGCGUAAUAGCUCACUGGUCGAGUCGGCCUGCGCGGAAGAUGUAACGGGGCUAAACCAUGCACCGAAGCUGCGGCAGCGACACUAUGUGUUGUUGGGUAGGGGAGCGUUCUGUAAGCCGUUGAAGGUGGCCUGUGAGGGUUGCUGGAGGUAUCAGAAGUGCGAAUGCUGACAUAAGUAACGAUAAUGCGGGUGAAAAACCCGCACGCCGGAAGACCAAGGGUUCCUGUCCAACGUUAAUCGGGGCAGGGUGAGUCGACCCCUAAGGCGAGGCCGAAAGGCGUAGUCGAUGGGAAACAGGUUAAUAUUCCUGUACUCGGUGUUACUGCGAAGGGGGGACGGAGAAGGCUAUGUUGGCCGGGCGACGGUUGUCCCGGUUUAAGCAUGUAGGCGGAUGUUCCAGGUAAAUCCGGAACGUUAUUAACGCUGAGGUGUGAUGACGAGGCACUACGGUGCUGAAGUGACAAAUGCCCUGCUUCCAGGAAAAGCCUCUAAGCAUCAGGUAACAUCAAAUCGUACCCCAAACCGACACAGGUGGUCAGGUAGAGAAUACCAAGGCGCUUGAGAGAACUCGGGUGAAGGAACUAGGCAAAAUGGUGCCGUAACUUCGGGAGAAGGCACGCUGAUAGGUAGGUGAAGUGGUUUACCCAUGGAGCUGAAAUCAGUCGAAGAUACCAGCUGGCUGCAACUGUUUAUUAAAAACACAGCACUGUGCAAACACGAAAGUGGACGUAUACGGUGUGACGCCUGCCCGGUGCCGGAAGGUUAAUUGAUGGGGUUAUCCGUAAGGAGAAGCUCUUGAUCGAAGCCCCGGUAAACGGCGGCCGUAACUAUAACGGUCCUAAGGUAGCGAAAUUCCUUGUCGGGUAAGUUCCGACCUGCACGAAUGGCGUAAUGAUGGCCAGGCUGUCUCCACCCGAGACUCAGUGAAAUUGAACUCGCUGUGAAGAUGCAGUGUACCCGCGGCAAGACGGAAAGACCCCGUGAACCUUUACUAUAGCUUGACACUGAACACUGGUCCUUGAUGUGUAGGAUAGGUGGGAGGCUUUGAAGUGUGGACGCCAGUCUGCAUGGAGCCAUCCUUGAAAUACCACCCUUUAAUGGCUGGUGUUCUAACGUGGGCCCGUUAUCCGGGUUGCGGACAGUGUCUGGUGGGUAGUUUGACUGGGGCGGUCUCCUCCUAAAGAGUAACGGAGGAGCACGAAGGUCAGCUAAUCCUGGUCGGACAUCAGGAGGUUAGUGCAAUGGCAUAAGCUGGCUUGACUGCGAGCGUGACGGCGCGAGCAGGUGCGAAAGCAGGUCAUAGUGAUCCGGUGGUUCUGAAUGGAAGGGCCAUCGCUCAACGGAUAAAAGGUACUCCGGGGAUAACAGGCUGAUACCGCCCAAGAGUUCAUAUCGACGGCGGUGUUUGGCACCUCGAUGUCGGCUCAUCACAUCCUGGGGCUGAAGUAGGUCCCAAGGGUAUGGCUGUUCGCCAUUUAAAGUGGUACGCGAGCUGGGUUUAGAACGUCGUGAGACAGUUCGGUCCCUAUCUGCCGUGGGCGCUGGAGAAUUGAGGGGGGCUGCUCCUAGUACGAGAGGACCGGAGUGGACGCAUCACUGGUGUUCGGGUUGUCAUGCCAAUGGCAUUGCCCGGUAGCUAAAUGCGGAAGAGAUAAGUGCUGAAAGCAUCUAAGCACGAAACUUGCCCCGAGAUGAGUUCUCCCUGACUCCUUGAGAGUCCUGAAGGAACGUUGAAGACGACGACGUUGAUAGGCCGGGUGUGUAAGCGCAGCGAUGCGUUGAGCUAACCGGUACUAAUGAACCGUGAGGCUUAACCUUACAACGCCGAAG